rnacentral:lncRNA from 1 species
GUUCAUAAACGGAGCUAAAAGGGACCCGGAGAGAAAAUCUGAAAAUCUGGCUAAGUCCCAGAUUUUGAGCUCUCGGGGACCGGUCCCUGAAGGAGAGACCGGUCCCCGUGCGCGUAGCCUACCAGGAAGUCCUGAGGCAUCCGGUCCUUGAUAGUGAGACCGGUCCUCGGGAGACCGGUCCCUGACGGGCAGACCGGUCCCUCGCUGCGCAACAGCUGAAAAAACUCAAAAUUUGGUUAAGUCCUG